rnacentral:tRNA from 1 species
GUCUAGUCUGGUAGGAUGCCGCAUUGGCAUUGCGGAGGUCGAGGGUCCGAAUCCCUC